rnacentral:rRNA from 1 species
UACGUAGGGUCCAAGCGUUGUUCGGAUUCACUGGGCGUAAAGGGUGCGUAGGUGGUGAGGUAAGUCGGAUGUGAAAUCUCCGAGCUCAACUCGGAAAUGGCAUUGGAAACUACCUUGCUCGAGGGUUGGAGGGGGGACUGGAAUGCUUGGUGUAGCAGUGAAAUGCGUAGAUAUCAAGCGGAACACCAGUGGCGAAGGCGAGUCCCUGGACAACUCCUGACACUGAGGCACGAAAGCUAGGGGAGCAAACGGG